rnacentral:rRNA from 1 species
GAUUAUGGCUCAGGAUGAACGCUAGCUACAGGCUUAACACAUGCAAGUCGAGGGGUAGCAGGGUAGCAAUACCGCUGACGACCGGCGCACGGGUGAGUAACACGUAUCCAACCUUCCCAUAACUCAGGGAUAGCCUUUCGAAAGAAAGAUUAAUACCUGAUAGUACUUUUUCAAGGCAUCUUAGAAAAAGUUAAAGAUUUAUUGGUUAUGGAUGGGGAUGCGUUCCAUUAGAUAGUUGGUGAGGUAACGGCUCACCAAGUCUUCGAUGGAUAGGGGUUCUGAGAGGAAGGUCCCCCACAUUGGUACUGAGACACGGACCAAACUCCUACGGGAGGCAGCAGUGAGGAAUAUUGGUCAAUGGGCGAGAGCCUGAACCAGCCAAGUAGCGUGAAGGAAUGAAGGUCCUAUGGAUUGUAAACUUCUUUUAUAGUAGAAUAAAGUGAGCCACGUGUGGUUUUUUGUAUGUAUACUAUGAAUAAGGAUCGGCUAACUCCGUGCCAGCCGCAGC